ACCUCAUGACAAUGAGCAAAGAGACAUCUUGUUGGUGGUGGUGUUUUUCUAUCAGUCAGGGCAGAGUAGACAGCAGUCUUUUGUUCAUCCUAGCUUGAUGUCUGGCUUGGUGGCCAAAGCUGUUUUAUGCCUAGGACUCAUAA